rnacentral:rRNA from 1 species
GAUGAACGCUGGCGGCGUGCCUAAUACAUGCAAGUCGAGCGAACAGAUGAGGAGCUUGCUCCUCUGACGUUAGCGGCGGACGGGUGAGUAACACGUGGAUAACCUACCUAUAAGACUGGGAUAACUUCGGGAAACCGGAGCUAAUACCGGAUAAUAUAUUGAACCGCAUGGUUCAAUAGUGAAAGACGGUUUUGCUGUCACUUAUAGAUGGAUCCGCGCCGCAUUAGCUAGUUGGUAAGGUAACGGCUUACCAAGGCGACGAUGCGUAGCCGACCUGAGAGGGUGAUCGGCCACACUGGAACUGAGACACGGUCCAGACUCCUACGGGAGGCAGCAGUAGGGAAUCUUCCGCAAUGGGCGAAAGCCUGACGGAGCAACGCCGCGUGAGUGAUGAAGGUCUUCGGAUCGUAAAACUCUGUUAUUAGGGAAGAACAAAUGUGGAAGUAACUAUGCACGUCUUGACGGUACCUAAUCAGAAAGCCACGGCUAACUACGUG